AACGAACGCUGGCGGCAUGCCUAACACAUGCAAGUUGAACGAGACCUUCGGGUCUAGUGGCGCACGGGUGCGUAACACGUGGGAAUCUGCCCUUCGGUUCGGAAUAACUGAGAGAAAUUUCAGCUAAUACCGGAUGAUGACGAAAGUCCAAAGAUUUAUCGCCGAAGGAUGAGCCCGCGUAGGAUUAGGUAGUUGGUGGGGUAAUGGCCCACCAAGCCGACGAUCCUUAGCUGGUCUGAGAGGAUGAUCAGCCACACUGGGACUGAGACACGGCCCAGACUCCUACGGGAGGCAGCAGUGGGGAAUAUUGGACAAUGGGCGAAAGCCUGAUCCAGCAAUGCCGCGUGAGUGAUGAAGGCCUUAGGGUUGUAAAGCUCUUUUACCAGGGAUGAUAAUGACAGUACCUGGAGAAUAAGCUCCGGCUAACUCCGUGCCAGCCGCCGCCGUAA
rnacentral:rRNA from 1 species